GACGAACGCUGGCGGCGUGCUUAACACAUGCAAGUCGAACGGUGAAGCGCCUUCCUUUUUGGUGGGUGUGGAUGAGUGGCGAACUGGUUAGUAACACGUGAGUAACCUUCCCCCUUCUUCUGGAUAACCGCAUGAAAGUGUUGCUAAUACGGGAUAUUCUGGGUCUGUUGCUUGAUGGGUCUGGGAAAGUUUUUGUUUCGGUGGGGGAUGGGUUCGCGGCCUAUCAGCUUGUUGGUGGGGUGAUGGCCUACCAAGGCGGUGACGGGUAGCCGGCCUGAGGGGGUGGACGGACACACAGGGAAUGAAGAGCGGCGAAGACUACGAGGGGAGGCAGCAGGGGGGAAUAUGGCACAAGGGGAGGAAGGAUGAUGCAGCGACGCCGCGGGAGGGAAGGAGGCCGGAGGGUUGUGAACCUCUUUCGCCAGUGAAGAAGGGCUGAAUCGAUUGUGGGUGGGUUGACAGUAGCUGGAUAAGAAGCGCCGGCUAACUACGUG
rnacentral:rRNA from 1 species